rnacentral:misc_RNA from 1 species
GCAAACUUGGUCAUUUAGAGGAAGUAAAAGUCGUAACAAGGUUUCCGUAGGUGAACCUGCGGAAGGAUCAUUAACAAAUUACAAACACUCGUGUUGCCCUCUUGCUGUGACCAUGUCACACUGUUCAGUCUUGGACAGGUACAUGUGUCUUCACAACAAGGGGGACGUUACACAACAUUACACAUCUUGAUGGACAAUUUGAUCCGACGAUGGCCGUACUGUGUGUGUGCGUGCAUAUGUGUGGCAUCAUACGCCUUGUGCGUGUCUUCAUACAUCAUCAUACACAUACUUGAAUGGACAGCCUCGUCGACCAUUACACGCUAAUGGAAACAACUUUUAACAAUGGAUCUCUUGGCUCUUGCAUCGAUGAAGAACGCAGC